ACGUUCGACACCUACUGGAGGCAGCAGUGAGGAAUAUUGGUCAAUGGGCGCUAGCCUGAACCAGCCAAGUAGCGUGAAGGAUGAAGGCUCUAUGGGUCGUAAACUUCUUUUAUAUAAGAAUAAAGUGCAGUAUGUAUACUGUUUUGUAUGUAUUAUAUGAAUAAGGAUCGGCUAACUCCGUGCCAGCAGUCGCGGUAAUCUGAGCGGGCUGGCAAGGC
rnacentral:rRNA from 1 species